rnacentral:rRNA from 1 species
UGGGGAAUUUUGGACAAUGGGGGAAACCCUGAUCCAGCCAUGCCGCGUGGGUGAAGAAGGCCUUCGGGUUGUAAAGCCCUUUCGGGAGGAAAGAAAAGCAUUACUCUAACAUAGUAAUGUGAUGACGGUACCUCCAUAAGAAGCACCGGCUAACUACGUGCCAGCAGCCGCGGUAAUACGUAGGGUGCAAGCGUUAAUCGGAAUUACUGGGCGUAAAGCGUGCGCAGGCGGCUAGAUAAGCCAGAUGUGAAAUCCCCGAGCUCAACUUGGGAAUUGCGUUUGGAACUGUCUAGCUAGAGUUUGGCAGAGGGGGGUAGAAUUCCACGUGUAGCAGUGAAAUGCGUAGAGAUGUGGAGGAAUACCGAUGGCGAAGGCAGCCCCCUGGGCUAAAACUGACGCU